rnacentral:rRNA from 1 species
GUGGGGAAUUUUGGACAAUGGGCGCAAGCCUGAUCCAGCAAUGCCGCGUGCAGGAAGAAGGCCUUCGGGUUGUAAACUGCUUUUGUACGGAACGAAACGGUCCGGGUUAAUACCCUGGGCUAAUGACGGUACCGUAAGAAUAAGCACCGGCUAACUACGUGCCAGCAGCCGCGGUAAUACGUAGGGUGCAAGCGUUAAUCGGAAUUACUGGGCGUAAAGCGUGCGCAGGCGGUUUUGUAAGACAGUCGUGAAAUCCCCGGGCUCAACCUGGGAAUUGCGCUUGUGACUGCAAGGCUGGAGUGCGGCAGAGGGGGAUGGAAUUCCGCGUGUAGCAGUGAAAUGCGUAGAUAUGCGGAGGAACACCGAUGGCGAAGGCAAUCCCCUGGGCCUGCACUGACGCUCAUGCACGAAAGCGUGGGGAGCAAACAGGAUUAGAAACCCCGGUAGUCC